rnacentral:rRNA from 1 species
UACGGAGGGUGCGAGCGUUGUCCGGAAUCACUGGGCGUAAAGGGCGCGUAGGCGGCCUGGUAAGUAGGGGGUGAAAUCCUGCGGCUUAACCGCAGGGCUGCCUUCUAAACUGUCAGGCUCGAGCACGGUAGAGGCAGAUGGAAUUCCCGGUGGUAGCGGUGGAAUGCGUAGAGAAUCGGGAAGAACAUCGGUGGCGAAGGCGGUCUGCUGGGCCGUUGCUGACGCUGAGGCGCGACAGCGUGGGGAGCAAACAGG